rnacentral:rRNA from 1 species
UGGGGAAUCUUCCGCAAUGGACGAAAGUCUGACGGAGCAACGCCGCGUGAGUGAAGAAGGUUUUCGGAUCGUAAAACUCUGUCUUUUGGGGCGAACGUGAGUAUGGUGAACAAUCAUAGUCAGUGACGGUACCAAAGGAGGAAGCCACGGCUAACUACGUGCCAGCAGCCGCGGUAAUACGUAGGUGGCAAGCGUUGUCCGGAAUUAUUGGGCGUAAAGAGCGCGUAGGCGGGAUAGUCAGUCUGUUGUAAAGUGCGGGGCUCAACCCCGUGAUGGCAAUGGAAACAGCUAUUCUUGAGUGCAGGAGAGGAAAGUGGAAUUCCCAGUGUAGCGGUGAAAUGCGUAGAUAUUGGGAGGAACACCAGUGGCGAAGGCGACUUUCUGGACUGUGUCUGACGCUGAGGCGCGAAAGCCAGGGGAGCGAACGGGAUUAGAUACCCCGGUAGUCCUGGCCGUAAACGAUGGGUACUAGGUGUGGGAGGUAUCGACCCCCUUUCCGUGCCGGAGUUAACGCAAUAAGUACCCCGCCUGGGGAGUACGGUCGCAAGACUGAAAACUUAAAUGAAUUGACGGGGGUCAUAGCUGUUUCCUG